rnacentral:rRNA from 1 species
GACGAACGCUGGCGGCGUGCUUAACACAUGCAAGUCGAACGGACAGGCCCUGCUUUUGUGGCGUGCUCGUUUGGCGAACGCGUGAGUAACACGCGUGUAACCUGCCCCUGACUUUGGGAUAACUUCAGGAAACUGGGGCUAUUACCGCGUAUGAGCUCCUGCUCCAUGGUGGGGGUUGGAAAGUUUCGGCGGUUGGGGAUGGAUUCGCGGCUUAUCCGCUUGUUGGUGGGGUAGUGGCUUACAAAGGCUUCGACGGGUAGCCGGCCUGGGAGGGUGGCCAGCGACAUGGGGACUACGAUACGCCCCAGACUCCUACGGGAGGCAGCAGUGGGGAAUAUGGCACAAUGGGCGGAAGCCUGAUGCAGCAACCCCGCGUGCGGGAUGACGGCCUUCGAGUUGUAAACCGCUUUCGCCGGUGACGAAGCGUGAGUGACGGUAAUGGGUAAAGAAGCACCGGCUAACUACGUG